rnacentral:misc_RNA from 1 species
GAUGAAGAACGCAGCGAAAUGCGAUACUUGGUGUGAAUUGCAGAAUCCCGUGAACCAUCGAGUUUUUGAACGCAAGUUGCGCCCGAAGCCUUUUGGCCGAGGGCACGUCUGCCUGGGCGUCACGCAUCGCGUCGCCCCCCCACAAUUCUCCGUAAAGGGAACAUGUGUUUUGGGGGCGGAUAUUGGUCUCCCGUGCUCAUGGCGUGGUUGGCCGAAAUAGGAGUCCUUUCGAUGGACGCACGAACUAGUGGUGGUCGUAAAAACCCUCGUCUUUUGUUUCGUGCUGUUGCUCGAAAGGUAAACUCUUUAAAAACCCCAAUGCGUCGUCUCUUGACGACGCUUCGACCGCGACCCCAGGUCAGGCGGGACUACCCGCUGAGUUUAAGCAUAUCAAUAAGCGGAGGA